rnacentral:rRNA from 1 species
CCCUUAGAUGUCCUGGGCCGCACGCGCGCUACACUGAUGCAUGCAACGAGUUUAUAACCUUGGCCUGAAAGGUCUGGGUAAUCUUUUGAACGUGCAUCGUGAUAGGGAUAGAUUAUUGCAAAUAUUAAUCUUGAACGAGGAAUUCCUAGUAAGCGCAAGUCAACAGCUUGCGUUGAUUACGUCCCUGCCCUUUGUACACACCGCCCGUCGCUACUACUGAUUGGAUGUUUAAGCGAGGUUCUCGAACUGCUAGCGACUUAGCUUCGGUGAGGUCGCAGUGUGGGAAGUGAACCUAGCUUUGGUGUCUAGAGGAAGUAAAAGUCGUAACA